GCGCACACUGAUAAGAAAACAACAACUUCCGGUGGCAGAAAAAAAGGGACAAUAUGAAUUGAAACCGUAGCGUAAAUACGGCAAAAAAGUGUGUGCCGCGCCACAUUCCGCGCCGAGAAAUGGGAAGGCAGUCAUAUAUUCAUGAGAGGGGCCAAAAUCAGUGAGGGGGCAAGAGAUGGAUGGAGGAGACCGGUCUCC
ensembl:ncRNA C06G1.8 ncRNA